rnacentral:rRNA from 1 species
GACGAACGCUGGCGGCGUGCCUAAUACAUGCAAGUCGAACGCAGGGGGGAAGGGUGAGUAAAACGUGGGUAACCUCCCAUCAGAGGGGAUAACACUUGGAAACAGGUGCUAAACCGAUACUGAUGGAUGGACCCGGGGUGCAUUAGCCAGUUGGUGGGGUAACGGCUCACCAAGGCCACGAUGCAUAGACGACCUGAGAGGAUGAUCAGCCACACUGGGACUGAGACACGGCCCAGACUCCUACGGGAGGCAGCAGUAGGGAAUCUUCGGCAAUGGACGAAAGUCUGACCGAGCAACGCCGCGUGUGUGAAGAAGGUUUUCGGAUUGUAAAGCUCUGUUGUUAGAGAAGCGGUAUCUAACCAGAAAGCCACGGCUAACUACGUGCCAGCAGCCGCGGUAAUUC